GCUGUGGCCAUCAUCCAGGUGGGAAGGGGGCUGGAAAAAGUAGAUGGAUUUGAAGAUCUAGAGAAGACAGGAUGCACUUGAAAUGAAUGCAAAGAGGAGCCUAAAGGAUCCACUGUGGUAAAGAAAGAGCCUUGGUUCCCUGACAGGGGAAGGACUCGGUGAAAAAGACACAUGGCCAGGCCUGGGAGCACUGGUCAAGAGUCUCAGUGCACACAAUUAAGGACAGGCUUGGCUCACAACCUCACAUGUCCCUGGCAUUCUACACAGCUGAGGCUACAGACACAGAAGAAUCCUCAGAGCCUAAGAGAAAACCCUGGUCAGAAGCUAACCCAGUACAGGAAUACUAAGGUGCUGCCCCAACCCCACAACCGGAUUCUCAAUAAAUGUUUACUGAAUGAAG